CACGCCGUAAACGUUGGGCGCUAGGUGUGGGACUCAUUCCACGAGUUCCGUGCCGCAGCUAACGCAUUAAGCGCCCCGCCUGGGGAGUACGGCCGCAAGGCUAAAACUCAAAGGAAUUGACGGGGGCCCGCACAAGCGGCGGAGCAUGUGGAUUAAUUCGAUGCAACGCGAAGAACCUUACCAAGGCUUGACAUAUACCGGAAACACUCAGAGAUGGGUGCCCCGCAAGGUCGGUAUACAGGUGG
rnacentral:rRNA from 1 species